GGGUCCGAGCGUUAUCCGGAUUUAUCGGGUUUAAAGGGUGCGUAGGUGGUUUGAUAAGUCAGCGGUGAAAUUUUCCGGCUCAACCGGGAUACUGCCGUUGAUACUGUAAGGCUAGGAUAUGGUUGCUGUGGGUGGAAUGUGUGGGUGUAGCGGUGAAAUGCUUAGAGAUCACACAGAAUAUCGAUUGCGAAGGCAGCUCACAAAGCCAUUAUUGACGCUGAGGCACGAAAGUGUGGGGAUC
rnacentral:rRNA from 1 species